rnacentral:rRNA from 1 species
AACGAACGCUGGCGGCAGGCUUAACACAUGCAAGUCGAGCGCAUCCUUCGGGGUGAGCGGCAGACGGGUGAGUAACGCGUGGGAAUCUGCCUUUUGCUACGGAAUAGCUCCGGGAAACUGGAAUUAAUACCGUAUGUGCCCUUAGGGGGAAAGAUUUAUCGGCAAGAGAUGAGCCCGCGUUGGAUUAGCUAGUUGGUGGGGUAAAGGCCUACCAAGGCGACGAUCCAUAGCUGGUCUGAGAGGAUGAUCAGCCACAUUGGGACUGAGACACGGCCCAAACUCAUACGGGAGGCAGCAGUGGGGAAUAUUGGACAAUGGGCGCAAGCCUGAUCCAGCCAUGCCGCGUGAGUGAUGAAGGCCUUAGGGUUGUAAAGCUCUUUCACCGGAGAAGAUAAUGACGGUAUCCGGAGAAGAAGCCCCGGCUAACUUCGUG